UCAUUAAUAGUUGGUCUGAAAUGGCAAGAGGCUUGCCCGAGAUUAGCAUGCCACCACUUAUUGACCGAACCCUUCUCCGAGCAAGAGUGCCACCAAUCCCUAGAUUUCAUCAUCUCGAAUAUGACCGACCUCCUUCCUUAUACACCUCUACAUCACUUGGCCCUAAUAACCAUAAACCCUUAACUGUAUCUAUUUUCAAGAUCACACAAAAUCAACUUAAUACCCUAAAAGCCAAGUCAUGGGAACAUGGAAACAAAACCAAUUGCAGCACCUUCACCAUUCUAGCUGCAUACAUAUGGCACUGUGAAACUAAAGCUUGGGGCCUCUCAUAUGAUCAACCAACCAAGUUACACAUGCCAACUAAUGGACGCCCCAGACUACAUCCUCCCCUCCCAUCAAUGUACUUGGGCAACGCAAUGUUUGUAGCUUCAUUAAUUGCUCUAUCUGGAAAUCUCCAAUCAGAACCGUUUGUAAAUACCCUAGAACGAGUUCAUGGAACAUUGCAAAGGAUGAAUAAUGAGUAUCUAAGAUCAGCUCUUGACUACCUAGAAACACUGCCAGAUAUAACAAUUGCCAGGAGAACACCGGACACUUACCAUUGCCCAAACCUAAGUAUCAACAAAUGGACACAACUGUCUUUAUAUGAUGCAUAUUUUGGAUGGGGUCGACCAAUAUACAUGGGUCCAACAAACGUUGUCCAUGAAGGAAAAAUAUGUAUACUACCAAGUCCAACCGAUGAUGGGAGCUUGUCAUUGGUAACAUGCCUACAGACUGCUCAUAUGAAACUCUUCGAGAAACAUCUAUACGAAGGCUUGAAGUCAUUUGACAAGAUCAAAGCUCGAUAUUAGUUGUUUGUUCUCUCUAUCAAUAUAUGUAUAAACCUAUAAAUCUUCUACUUCUGUUUCUUUAACUAAGACUUUUUGUUUGGAUCCUGUUUAUUUGAAAUUUACCAUCUAAGUUGGCCUGGCAAACAGGUGUUUUAUUGGUAAUUAUUGUACUAUACCUCAAUAAUAGUAAUAGCAUUGAUCGCAAAGAAAUAAUAAAUUAAAAUAAGAAUACACAGAUUUUACGUGGAAAAGUCUUAUUAGAAAAAAAAUCACAGGCAGAGUAAAAAUUUACUAAUGUUGAAAAGCAACAAUACAAGAAGUUUUUUUACUACACACGUUUUAACGGUUAAAUAACAUUUUUAUAAUCAAUGUCUAAUAGAAGAUCGCUCCCACAUAUCCCCCAAAUUUGCAAUUCUAUUUUAUUUCUUUAACAAACAAGUUGCACCUCGAAUUUUUCUGACUGGAUCAAACGGGGUUCAAAUCAAACAGCUCUGACAACAACUCAAAUUAUUUUUCCAUAACCAUAUUAAAACAAAUACCGAAUAAUUGAAAUAUAUUCAAAAUUUUAAAUUAAAUUAAGUUUGGAUCAAACUCACUGAUGAUAUAUGAUUUACCUAAAGUGAAAUAAGAACUCGAAAAUAUAAAAUUUAUGGGUAAAUUUUCGUUUUGGUCACUUAAUUAAAAAAUUAUAAUUUGGUUAUUAAACUAUUCAAAAGUUUUAUUUUAAGUCAUUGGAUUGUUAAAAUUUAUAUUAUACGACUUUCUCUAUUCGCAGUGCAUGCAUCAAUUGAAAGCUCUCUUUUUCCUUCAUUUUUACAGUUCAUUUUCUAUUUUUAUGUAAAAACUUUGGACGUCAUAAAUCUGUAGACCAAAAUUUAAACAUUUUUUGCUCUGAUUUCCAACAUCGACCAUCAAAUCAAUUUAGAUCUAAGGUAUAUUUUUCUACUCAUUAAUGGAAUAAUGGGUAUCGAUCCAUCGUAUCGAUUGUUGACACCAUUUUUUGGAUGAAAACGGAGUCGACUUGGGUUUGAAAAUGAAAACGAAAAACAAGGUGUCGCGACCGAUCCUUUUUGAUGAGGUGUGAUCGGGUCACCUCGUAAAAGUGGUUGUUUUUAAUAAACGGUUUAAUUUUAUUAAAACAACGAGUUUGGUCCACGAAAUUUAGAAAAACAGGUUCGGGAGUCGGUUACGCACGAGGAAGGAUUAGCACCCUCGAUACGCCCAAAAUUGGUACCCAGUUGAUUACUUAAUGUCUUAAUGUCGAAAAUUGAAAACUUUGAAGAAUUUUAAAAAAUACGAUCCUUGUAUUAAAACGUUGAAAAUUUUCAAGAAAAUGAGGAUAUUUCACGUUAUUCGAGAAAGAGAAUCAUAUCCAGUAAGUUAGGACACAAUGUCUCGAAUUUCCGAUACGCGAAUGAAAAAUGCUUAUUUAAAAGAUAUUUAGCUAUCUCGGAUUUAAAAAAGAGAUCACGACCAGUAAGUUAGAACACGAUCUUUUUUAUUCCCGAGAUCAUUUAAAACUUAAGUUUGAAAAGAUUCGUGUAAUAAAGUUUAAAAGAAUAUUCAAUUGUUUAAAUCAAAUGAAGAAAUUGCAACCCAAUACGUUAGAGCACAAUUUCUCAAAAUAUUAAACACUGAAUAUUGCAUUUAUUUCGAAAAAUCCUCGUCUCGAGGAACCACGUGUCAUGUCCAAUGCAUUAGGACGCAACGUAUUCAAUUCUUGAUAACGAACUUUUUAUCAUUUUUUUAAAAGAGUAAUCUCGAUUAUUUAAGUUCAACGAAGAAAGUCGGAACCCAAUACGUUAGGGCUCGAUUCUCUCGAAGAUCCAAAAUAACGAAUAUUACUUAUUUCUAAAAUUUCUUUUUCGAAAUCUAAAUAAAAAUGGGUGUAAUGGAUUAACGAUGAUAAUAAUGUAAGUAAAAUAAUAAUAUGAGCAAUAGCAUCAAAGAUAAGAUAAAAUAAAAAAGGACAAAUCAAUAGCAUACAGAAUAAAUAUAUAAGCAAAUAAAGUUAAAGCAUUCGUUUAAAAUAAUAAUGAAAAUGUAAAUAAAGAGAUAAACAAAAAAUGAACAAAACUAUAUAAAAAAUAAAAGAUAUAUAUAUUAUAUGCAUAAAUACAUUUGUACAAAAAAAAGGAUAUGUAAGUUGAAAUAUAGAAAAAUAUACGUAAGAAAAAAAUAGGUUUUUAAAACAUAAAAAGUAUGUAUAAAUAUGUUUAUAUGUAAUAAAAACACGUAUGUAUAUAUGAAAUACAACAAUAAUAAAGUAUAAAUAUGUACAUUUAUAUAAAUGGAAAAAGUAGAUAUGUAUAUGUAUAUAUAUAUUAUAAAGCAUAAAAAUAAGUAUUUAUAUAAAUAAAAAUUCGUAUGUAUAUACAUAUAUAUUACAUAAAGAUAAAAGGUAUAAGUAUGUAUAUUAUAAAAUAAAACCGUGCAAGUAUGUACAUAUAUAGAUGAAUUAUAAAGUAAGUAAAAUAUGAGUAUGUAUAUAACAAAGUCUAAAACGGUAUAAAUAGGUAGAUCAAAUGCAAUAAUAAUAAUAAUAAUAAUAAAUUAAAUAAUAAAAAGGGCUAAAUUGAAAACAAAACAAAAUAAGAGAGGAAAAAAAUCAAAAAUGAAAAGAAGUCAAGGAUUAAUCCGUGACGCGCUUGAAAGGAGAGGGACCGAGGCUGCAAAUAAACCGAAGCCCCCAAAACGCAGCGCAGCAGUGGACUAAAUUGAAACAAAAAUAAAACUUUGUGGCCAAAUUAAAAAUAAAAGAAAAUGCGAAAAGGGGCCAAAUUGCGACACACUUCAAAGUCAGAGGGACUGCGUGCGCAAAUAUCCCCUUUAGCGAAAACACGCUGAUCCUCCCCUCGGGUCGGAUCACCGCGCGGGUCAAGGGAGCCUUAAACGUCGCCGUUUUGAAAUUCCUAUAAAAGCUAAUUUUUUUCUGCUAUUUCAUUUCUUAAAAAAAAACAUAAGAAAAAACAAAAGGGUCUUCCCCUUUCUCUGCUAGGGUUCCAAACUUGGAACCCCGCCGCCGUCUGCCGCAUCUCCAUCGCAGCGCCACCAAGGACGGUGGCCGGAGUCGUGCGAGAAAAAGGGAUUUUUAACCCUCAUCGUGUGGCAUCCUUGAGAUCUCAGAUCUCUCAACCCGCGGGAAAGAGGGAAACCCACAACCCCUCUCGGACCCGAAUCGGCGACGGAGGAGAAGCCCUCCGACGGCGCAACCACGGUGGUUCCCGGUGAGUCCCCUUUCCCUUUUUAUUUUCUAUUUAAUGUACGAAAUAAAGAAAAUAAAAUAAAUAAAUAAAGAAAUGCGAAUCUGAUAUCAAGCCUUGAAUCUAUUUUUUUGAUUGUUUUAUUUAUAUGAAAAUGUUACAAAAGAAAAGAAAAAGCCCCCCGAUUCAGUGAUGAAGCCCCCUCUUACAAUCAAAAUCCCUAUAUUCUACUGCUAUUGUGUCUUUUCUUUUGUAGGUGGAGCAGGUGAGGGCGUCGGUGGCAAGUGGGCAUGGUGAUGGGACGUAUGCGGCGGCCAGCAGAGCUAGGGUGCAGAGGGCUGCAGCGCUAGGGUUUCUUUUCUGAAACCCUAGCUUGACUUUUGGGGAAUUGGGCUCCGAAUUUGGGCCUCGGGUUUGGGUUAGGCUAGUUGGGUUUAUUGUAUUGGGUUGUAACUGGAAUUGGAUCAUUUGGGUUUGGGUGGUUUGGGCUGAGUCUGUUGGGUUAUUGGGCUGAUGUUUGUUAGUUUAGGGUUAAUUGGGCCCAGGCAUAAAAAUUGGGCUUGUACAAUAAAUAUAUAUUUUUUAUUUUUAUUUUUUAAUUUUAAAAUACGUUAAAAAUAUUUUUUUUUAUUUUUAAAAUAUUUUUUUUGUGUUUAUUAAAAAUCGGGCUGGGCCCGGGCUUAUUAUUUUUUUCUCGGGCCGGGCCUGGGAAAAAUUUCAGGCCCAUAUUUCGGGCCGGGCCGGGCCCGGGCCUAAGAGUCGGGCCAAAUUUUUUCCCGGGCCCGGCCCGAACCCGGCCCGGCCCAUGGACAGGUCUAGUGACAGUACAAAUGGGUUUUAAAUGCCAACUACGAUGUCCAAUUAUUAGGACAAAAAUAGGUUUUUAAUUAAAUAAAUUAAAUUUAGACUGCCACGUAGGACCGUCAUAAGGGAGGUAAGAGAGCUUAAUGAUAGAGUGACCAAUUCGUAACAGAACGAUAACAUUAGUGACUAAAACGUAACAUUUCAAACUUAAGUGACUAAAAUGUAAUCUGAAGCAAAUAAAAGUGACUGUUUUAAAGUUUACCCUUAAUGUAAUUAUUGGCGGAUGAUCUGGCCGCACCGACAAACAGCAGAAAUUGAGUCAUUUUCGUAAUUAUUUACAAAAUUUGGGUUACUUUUGUAAAAAAACCAGAGAAGAGAACCUCGCCUCUUCUUAAGAUAGCCGGACACUUUCUAACUUUCCCUUCUUUCAGUUUUUCAUCAACAGGUUUGCCUCUUACCAGAACAUCAAUGGAUGUUAGUGUAAAGAGAUGGAGCAUGAUACGCCCUGCCCAAGAUACUCCUAAAGAAAGGCAAUGGAUUUCAAAUCUGGACAUGGUGAUAACAACAUACCAUGUCCCUUUGCUGUUUUUCUACAAACCAAAUGGCUCCUCUGAUUUCUUUAAGCCUCAAGUGCUACAGGAGGCUUUAAGCAAGACUCUUGUGCAAUUCUAUCCUAUGGCUGGGAGGUUGGGACAUGAUGAAAAUGGUAGGCUCGAGAUAUUAUGCAACGCAGAGGGUGUUCUGUGGAUAGAAGCUGAAACUACAUCGGCCAUGGAUGAUCUCGACGGUUUUACUCCCUGCUCAAAACUGAGGAAACUGGUUCCCACGGCUGAUUACUCUGGAGAUAUCAGUUCUUAUCCGCUUAUUAUGGCUCAGGUAAGUGAAUGAAGAACUAUUAUCUUAUUGUAGAUGAUAACUGUUACUUGCAGUAGGAGACCAAGGAUAAGCUCUGAGAAAACUCAAACAGUCUGAUACUGAAGUUAUAGCACAAGAAAAACUAAGCUAUCAGCUAAGAAGUUGAUAUAUGGCUUUUUUUUCUCAAAACUGACUUAAAAGAAUCGAUUAAUUAUGAAAAUUACCCAGGUAUAAUAUCUUAUAUGAGAAUGACCCGUUUUCUACCGUAAAAAUUGGUACCGCUAGACUAUUUAGCGGUACCGAUAUUUUUGUAAAAGUAUUACCAUCAACAAAUUAUCGAUAUAUACUUUCCAUUCAUCUUCACAAGAAAGUGCUAAUUACGGAGGUCCAUGGUGGUGGCUUAGUAGUGAUGAAGAUGAAACCAAAACCCUUUUCUCUUCAAUGAACCUCUGGUUUGACUCAUUUGUAAUAAUUAUUUUCGCUCGUUGGAUACACCCGCAUUUUAAAUGGAAAACUGUAAUAAUCCUCACCGAAGAAAAGCAAAGAACAAGAUUAAUCAAAGCGAACAAUAUUGUUACAAAUGAGUUAGGAGAGAGGUUCAUUGAAGAGAAAAGGGUUUCGAUUUCAUCUUCUUCACUGCUAAGCCACUGCCAUGGAACUCUUAGACCUUUCUCAUGAAGCUAAACGAUACCAUCAACAAAGUAUAUCCUUUUUACAAAACUAACAUCGGUGCCAACAAUGAGUCCGGCAACAUUCAAAAAAUAUAUUUUUUUAAAAAACAUGGGGUGGUGCUUCAAUGGAAAUGGUGGCACCAAAUUUUAUGAUAGAAAAUGGGUUAUUCUCGUACAAAAUUUUACACUUGAGUCAUUUUUAUAAUUAAUAAAAAUUUUUGGUCAAUUUUGAAAAAAAAAACUUAAUGUUUUUGUUUCGAAAAGGUCAAUUGUUGAGUGUAUAUUUUGCUAGGUAACUACUCUUAAAUGCGGUGGAGUUUGUCUUGGAAUAGCAACUCAUCAUACUUUGACUGAUGGCACAACGACCUUACAUUUCAUUAAUAGUUGGUCUGAAAUGGCAAGAGGCUUGCCCCAAAUUAGCAUGCCACCACUUAUUGACCGAACCCUUCUCCGAGCAAGAGUGCCACCAAUCCCUAGAUUUCAUCAUCUCGAAUAUGACCGACCUCCUUCCUUAUACACCUCUACGUCACUUGGCCCUAAUAACCAUAAACCCUCAACUGUAUCUGUUUUCAAGAUCACACAAAAUCAACUUAAUACCCUAAAAGCCAAGUCAUGGGAACAUGGAAACAAAACCAAUUACAGCAC
rnacentral:lncRNA from 1 species